UACGUAGGGGGCAAGCGUUAUUCGGAAUUAUUGGGCGUAAAGAGCUCGUAGGCGGUUUGUCACGUCGGAUGUGAAACCCUGAGGCUCAACCUCAGGCCUGCAUUCGAUACGGGCAGACUAGAAUUCGGCAGGGGAGACUGGAAUUCCUGGUGUAGCGGUGAAAUGCGCAGAUAUCAGGAGGAACACCGGUGGCGAAGGCGGGUCUCUGGGCCGAUAUUGACGCUGAGGAGCGAAAGCCAGGGGAGCGAACGGG
rnacentral:rRNA from 1 species